GGCAAGGACGGGACCGAUGCCGUGGACGUACGUAGGGGGUAGGUGGUUUGCUGGAUUAUUGUGCGGAAAGAGCGCGUAGGGGGUCCGCAACGUCUGCUGUGAAGAGCCAGGGCUUAACGCUGGACUUGCAGUGGGUACGGGCGGAGUAGAGGUAGGUAGGGGAGAAUGGAAUUCCCGGUGUAGCGGUGAAAUUCGCAGAUAUCGGGAGGAACACCGGUGGCGAAGGCGGUUCUCUGGGCCUUACCUGACACUGAGGAGCGAAAGCGUGGGGAGCGAACAGGAUUAGAUACCCUAGUAGUC
rnacentral:rRNA from 1 species